rnacentral:lncRNA from 1 species
AUUUCUGGGCAAACCACUCUCAGAACAGUCAGAAUCGCCGGCUUACUUCUCCUCUUUCUACCGUUGGAUCAAUCUGAAUUUUGGAUAUGUGAUGCGUAUGGUUGUAUUACACAUUCGGAACGGUGGAGAUGAGAUGAAACCCUUCCAGCAAAGUGUUCAUGCACGCUCAACAGUGGUUCGUCAAUCUGAGGUCAGUUUUGAUCUAACUCCGAUCUAGAGAGAUCCAACCGUUAACUUGAGCUGAUAUUUGGAUAUGUGCUGCAUAAGAUGUGUGUUUACCUUUUCACCGUUGGGAUUUGUUAUUGUUUGAAUUGUUGGUGAGUAUUUUCUGUUUGAAGCUCUAUCCAGAAUCUGUCAUGGCUUCCAAUCCGAAACCUCAAAGCUAACACCACCUCCUCAACCACUAAACAUCCCACAAACCAUCACCAAAAUACCCAAAAUACAGCCUCCCCAAUGCAGGUUAGGUUUCUAAAAUCCCAAGAAUCAACAAACAAUCAAAAAUCCAUUUCCAAUAGCCACCUUGACCCAAAACAACAACCAUCCCUAAACACAAUCACAAUAUUCCUAGCCCAAAAACCCAGAAUAACCACUCCUUUAACAUUUCAGUGCCACAAAUUUACUUUGAAGGGUUCCCCAUAUGGGUUGAUUACCAUCGCAUAAAGGCUUCUUUUAACAAGUUUGGCUCUGUACUCAAACUCUAUGUAUCCAGGCGUGUCAACAAAUCAGGGAGUCUUUUUGGUUUUGUAACAAUAGCAUCAAACUUUUCUGAUAAAGUUUUGCUAGAGAGUGUGAAUGACAUUUGGUUUGAAUAUCACAGACUAAAGGCAAAUUUCGCCAGACACUAUAAAAAGAUUCCAAGAGAGAACAAAGCUCCCGACAGAUCAAAACCCAAAACAACUAUAAGAGUGCCUAUUAGUGAAAGAGAUGUAAGAAGUUACAAAGAGGUACUCAGUGAAGGGAAAGCGGAACAAAUACUUCUGCCUGUGGCUUCUGG